rnacentral:lncRNA from 1 species
CGAGAAGGUGAAAGAGGAAGGGACCUAAGGUCCCCACCAUUUUCUACUUGUUAGUCCCUCCGUCUUUCCUUGCAACUGAUGUUGUCUCGUCUGGCGAAAUAAAAUCUUUCUCGUUCAUCAAUUUCCAUUUCUACUUCGAAUUGGUAUUUCGCGCACCAGGAGAAGAUGACUUUUGUUACGAAUUCGAUAAAUCGAUUGGAUUAUUUUCCUUUCACCGACUUUACGUCGUGCAACAUCGCCGCGUGAUAGUGCGCAUACACGCUUUUCAAGGAUCUUGAUCGAGGAUAAAAAAGAUGGAUUGGGGAUAAAGGAAAAAAAUACGCGCCUAUUCCUACCAAGGAUCUCGUUGGAUGAGGAUGACGGAACGGAAUCUUCAACGGUUCGAUGACCCUGCUCGGAUAUUGAAUUUCCUCUUGCGGUACAUAAAAAUACGGAUGAAAAGUGGCGUUAAAAGGAACUACCGGUUUGAGAGAGCUUUUUGGUUAUAUAAAAUUUUUAUAAUACCGAUAGCAUCGAUAGCGAGUGAAAGUCAAUUACGCUUAUAUAACUACUUUUUUUUACUAUAAAAAAUGCUCUCAAAGGUAUUAAUUUUAGAUCCUGUAGGAAACGUUCGUGUUAGAUUAAAAUGUAAAAUUUCAAUAUAGAGUUAUUUUCGUUUAGAGCUUAUAGAGUUCAGUACUGAGUAGGUUGCACGCGGUAAAAAUGGGCAAUGUAACAGAAGAGACAGAAUCAGUUCUAAAGUAGCGUUAAUUUAGUGCUGGAAAAAUAACACAAUAAUCUCCCAUCGUAGACAGAAAGUAUUUCACCGGAAUUCUUACAAUAAAUUUUCCAAUUCAUUUUCAAUUAAAUUCCAUUUUAAAACCAGAUGCCACCGUCAGUGAAGAAUUGGGAGUAUCAAAUUGCAACACGACAUUCUAUCCACCGACAAUUUGUUAAAAAUGCAUAUACCUAAAAAGCUAUCAACCUUCUUAUAAAAUAAC